GGCUCGGUGGCGGAUGGUUCCGCGCCCGCACUCAAUGGUGAUAAUCUUUAGAUACCGAUCUUUUCUGCGGGAGUCGCUCGUUCAAUUCGAGCCUGGGCCA